rnacentral:rRNA from 1 species
UGAUAAUGACAGUAUCUGGUAAAGAAACCCCGGCUAACUCCGUGCCAGCAGCCGCGGUAAUACGGAGGGGGUUAGCGUUGUUCGGAAUUACUGGGCGUAUAGCGCACNUAGGCGGAUUGGAAAGUAGGGGGUGAAAUCCCAGGGCUCAACCCUGGAACUGCCUCCUAAACUAUCAGUCUAGAGUUCGAGAGAGGUGAGUGGAAUUCCAAGUGUAGAGGUGAAAUUCGUAGAUAUUUGGAGGAACACCAGUGGCGAAGGCGGCUCACUGGUUCGAUACUGACGCUGAGGUUGCGAAAGUGUGGGGAGCAAACAGGAUUAGAUACCCUGGUAGUCCACACCGUAAACGAUGAAUGCCA